rnacentral:lncRNA from 10 species
UCUGUUUCCUGCAACUGCCAGGAAAUAGGACAGCACUGCCGUCUCACCCUGCAGAACCCAGGCAUUUCACCCUGCAGAAUCCAGGCAGUGUCAGGGGCUUUGGAGGGAAAAGCUGGGGUUGACUCCAUAUGUCCAGAGUAACAAGAACCCACUGGGCAGGGCCUCCCUGCAUGUUCUUUGCCUCCUUCUUACAUGUUGCCAGGACUUUUGUUGGUGUUUCUCCCCAUUUGCAGAAAAACGGAAGUGGGAAGAUGUAAGACCUAGGAAUGGACGAUGGGCUGCAGGCAGCCUCUGAUGUGGCUGAGACAACCCCAGACCUGUCUAGAAACAAGAUCACGGCAUGCCCUCUUCAAUCAAAUUCAUGCAGCAGAUAGUUUCGAACUGCUAGGCACUGGGAGGUCCAGGAGGCCCUCUCUUGCUCUUACAUUUGCAAUGAGAUGCAUAUAAUUAAAGGAGCAGUUACUGUAUAAUAAUUCACAGGUCAGGCACAGUGUCUCAUGCUUGUAAUUCCAGCACUCUGGGAGGCUGAGGCAGGAGGAUUGAUUGAGCCCGGGAGUUUG